AGGAUGUGGCGGGGAAUUGCCGU
rnacentral:siRNA from 1 species